GACGUAGGGGGCGAGCGUUGUCCGGAUUUAUUGGGCGUAAAGCGUGCGUAGGCGGCUGCGCAAGUCGGUUGUGAAACCCCGGGGCUCAACCCCGGAACUGCAUCCGAUACUGCGUGGCUAGAGGUAGGUAGGGGAGAUCGGAAUUCCUGGUGUAGCGGUGAAAUGCGCAGAUAUCAGGAGGAACACCGGUGGCGAAGGCGGAUCUCUGGGCCUUACCUGACGCUCAGGCACGAAAGCUAGGGGAGCGAACAGGAUUAGAUACCCUGGUAGUCCUAGCCGUAAACGUUGGGUGCUAGGUGUGGGCGGAUAUCGACCCCGUCCGUGCCGAAGCUAACGCAUUAAGCACCCCGCCUGGGGAGUACGGCCGCAAGGCUAAA
rnacentral:rRNA from 1 species